rnacentral:rRNA from 1 species
CGUGUCGUGAGAUGUUGGGUUAAGUCCCGUAACGAGCGCAACCCUUGUCCUUAGUUACCAGCACGUAAUGGUGGGCACUCUAAGGAGACUGCCGGUGACAAACCGGAGGAAGGUGGGGAUGACGUCAAGUCAUCAUGGCCCUUACGGCCUGGGCUACACACGUGCUACAAUGGUCGGUACAGAGGGUUGCCAAGCCGCGAGGUGGAGCUAAUCUCACAAAACCGAUCGUAGUCCGGAUCGCAGUCUGCAACUCGACUGCGUGAAGUCGGAAUCGCUAGUAAUCGCGAAUCAGAAUGUCGCGGUGAAUACGUUCCCGGGCCUUGUACACACCGCCCGUCACACCAUGGGAGUGGGUUGCACCAGAAGUAGCUAGUCUAACCUUCGGGAGGACGGUUACCACGGUGUGAUUCAUGACUGGGGU